UAAGAUGGAAUGUGUAAGGACUGC
rnacentral:siRNA from 1 species